GCUAUGAUGGCUUAUGUGGUUAGAGCCUCCGCCUCAGAUGCGGGAGGUUGUGGGCUGAAACCCCGGCCUAGUCUUAAAAAAGCC